UACGUAGGGUGCAAGCGUUGUCCGGAAUUAUUGGGCGUAAAGAGCUCGUAGGCGGUUUGUCGCGUCUGCUGUGAAAACUCGGGGCUUAACUCCGGGCCUGCAGUGGGUACGGGCAGACUAGAGAGCGGUAGGGGAGACUGGAAUUCCUGGUGUAGCGGUGAAAUGCGCAGAUAUCAGGAGGAACACCGGUGGCGAAGGCGGGUCUCUGGGCCGUAACUGACGCUGAGGAGCGAAAGCGUGGGGAGCGAACAGG
rnacentral:rRNA from 1 species